rnacentral:rRNA from 1 species
GACGAACGCUGGCGGCGUGCUUAACACAUGCAAGUCGUACGGUAAGGCCCUUUCGGGGGUACACGAGUGGCGAACGGGUGAGUAACACGUGAGUAACCUGCCCACAACUUUGGGAUAACGCUAGGAAACUGGUGCUAAUACUGGAUAUGUGCUCCUGCUGCAUGGUGGGGGUUGGAAAGCUCCGGCGGUUGUGGAUGGACUCGCGGCCUAUCAGCUUGUUGGUGGGGUAGUGGCCUACCAAGGCGGCGACGGGUAGCCGGCCUGAGAGGGUGACCGGCCACAUUGGGACUGAGAUACGGCCCAGACCCCUACGGGGGGCAGCAGUGGGGAAUAUUGCACAAUGGGCGCAAGCCUGAUGCAGCACCGCCGCGUGCGGGAUGACGGCCUUCGGGUUGAAAACCGCUUUCAGCAGGGACGAAGCUUUUUGUGACGGUACCUGCAGAAGAAGCACCGGCUAACUACGUG